GGUAGGUUUAAGUGACUGGGUGAUCAGUGUUAGAUGAAGGUAGAAAUGGAGUUAGAUGGAAAUGUGGAGAUUUUGAAAAAAGAAGAAAGAGGAAGAGAAGGAGGAGGAAGAGGAGAAGCAGCAGCAUUCAUAAAAGGAGCAGAGAUGCUUUGGAAGGAAUACAUAAGCUGAAUGGACCAAGAAACAGAAGCCACUUGACAUUUCCGACAUGGAAAGUUCAAGCACACAGAUGCUUCCCAAGAGGCUGGCCUCACCGUG
rnacentral:lncRNA from 1 species